GAGAGAAAGGUCUUCCUUUUUCCAUUGGUUCACCCCCCAGGUGGCUGCUACAGCCGGCGCACUGUGCUGAUCUGAAGCCAGGAGCCAGGUACUUCCUCCUGGUCUCCCAUGUGGGUGCAGGGCCCAAGGACCUGGGCCAUCCUCCACUGCACUCCUGGGCCACAGCAGAGAGCUGUCCUGGAAGCGGGGCAACCGGGACAGAAUCUGGUGCACCAACCAGGACUAGAACCUGGGGUGCCAGCGCCACAGGCGGAGGAUUAGCCUAGUUAGCUGCAGCGCCGGCCAACAUAAUAGUUCUUAAUAACUCAUAUUAUUAUCUCGUUUGUUUUCUUGGGAAAAAGGCAGGCAGAGGUAAAAUAUAUAUCUUUACUUAGAAGUGGAAAAAUGUCUGUGUAUGUGUAUGUGUGUGUUUGAUUUGGUUUUGUUUGUGAAAAAUUCCCUGGAGAAAAACAGCAAUAUAAUGUGUUCAUAAUUAUUAAAAAAUACCAUGCUUGAUAUUCCUGCUCACUAUUAUGGAUUAGAGUCUGAUCAAGGAGAGCUAACAGGUAGGCUGGUACUCUUUUUGUUAAAUUAUCCAAGCAGUGAAAUUGUGGUUCAUUACCUUCAUCAUUCUUUCCUUUGUAGAGGGAUUGGAUAUCUUAAUUUCUCAACUGGUCAAUAAUAAUGCACAGGCCAGCGCCGCGGCUCACUUGGCUAAUUCUCCACCUGCAGCGCUGGUACCCAGGGUUCUAGUUGGGUUGGGGUGCUAGAUUCUGUCCCGGUAGUUCCUCUUCCAGUCCAGCUCUCUACUGUAGCCUGGGAAGGCAGUGGAGGAUGGCCCAAGUGCUUGGGCCCUGCACCCACAGGGGAGACCAGGAGGAAGCACCUGGCUCCUGGCUUCAGAUCAGCGCAGUGCACUGGCUGUAGCGGUCAUUUGAGGGGUGAACCAAAGGAAGGAAGACCUUUCUCUCUGUCUCUCUCUCUUACUCUCUAACUCUGCCUGUCAAAAAAAAAAAAAUGAUAAUGCACAUACCUGGAGAGGCAUAAUUGAUUGAGAAUGCUGCUUGCGACUCCUCCAGGUCUUAUCAGAGUGCCUGCAUCUCUACUCGGCUUCCUGCUGAUGUUCAUGCUAGGAGGGAGCAGAUGACGGUUCCACUAGCUGUGUCCUGCUACCAUGUGGGAGAUCUAUAAUGAGUUUCUGGAUCAUGGCAUCAGCCUGUCCCAGCCCUUGUUGCUGUGGGUAUUUGGGGAUCGAACCAGUUGAUGGAGAUCUUUGUCUAUCUGUUUGUCUUUGUCUCUGUCUCUCUGCCUUUCAAUAAAUACGUUUUAAAUCUUUAAAAUAUAGUCCAUGUACCCAUUGUUGUCCAUCUUCCACAUUACAGAGGAAGGCAGCAGAAGCAUAUGUGUUCUAUGUAAAGAAGUGAGGGUAAGGGCAGAAGGCACCUGGUUCCUGGAUGAAAAAAGGCAAACCAGAAUCUUCUAGUGCAUUUCAUUAGCACUCUUCAUUCCUUACCUCUGCUACUAAGUAGUUGUGUAAAAGAAGACAAGGCAUAUACCCUAUCCAUCAGAUUUUUCUUUGAAGAAAGAUCAUAACCCUUUUGAAUUUGAGAUAUUAGGAGGUAGGUACACCCUAUAAUUUAAAGCUAUUAAGUUCAGAUAUUCAAAGUAAUUCUGGAAAUGUCUACAUUCUUUAAUCUUGUCUAGAACUGAUGGGUCCUCAAUUGCACUGAAUAUAUCAAAGAGCUUAACUUUUUUCUCCUUUUGACCAUGAUCUUUCUCCUUACAACACUCUCAACAUUCCUGUUGUUAAUGGCAAAUGCUGUCCACUUUUAAUUUAUCCUGUAUGUUCGAAGAUAAAUGCAAUACAAAAUUUUCAGCUCUCUAUAGCUAAUUUGUAGGAAAAAAUUUUUAAAUAAUCUAGAAAAAAUGAAAAAAAUAGAAAAGAUGCAGCAGUGAGUAUGGUGAGCAUAUUAAUAAAGUAGCUCCAAUGUACCUUCUUGGGAGUACACUCGUUAAAGGGUUUUUAAGUGUUUAUUUAGCAAAUACCACAAAUAUGAGGAUUUAAGUAACAAAAAAGGGAAUUUAUACCACGGCAGCCAUAACAAGCUGAAGUUAAUUCAUCAAAACUUUCACAUAAGCCUUUGUGGGCAGUUGGCCAGGCCUAGCACAUUAUCUGUUUGACUCACUGAGUCACUGCAGCUAAUGGAAUUUAGCCCCAUGUUUGUUGUUGCCAUGGCGAUGCGAUAUUCUCAGGCAUGUCAUGUUCACAGAUCAGUAGCAGCACACGGUUGCAAACACACAACUGCUCUCAGCCUUUGACCAUCCCCAGGAAUUCACUCUGCAGUGGGUCUGCCAGGAAGGAAGUCAGCUCCAGCAAGGAAAGUCAGGGCUGGGGAGGGCGACCCUUCCUUCUUCCUUUGUCAUCUCAGUGCCUUUAUCAUUAAAAUAACCUUGAAUUUUCAUGAAUUCACUCAUUCACAAACACUGUCAAAGAAGGUCCAAGAGUUCAAGAGAAUCCAGAGGGUCAAAGAGAGGACUAGUUUUAAAUCUGUGCCUAUUGAACCUGGAAAUGACAUCGUCUGUUAGUUAUAAUCUUAUUCUUACCAUAGCAAAUCAAAUCGUGCUGACUGGCACCAAUGUCCAAGGCGAUUCAGCACCAUGAAAGGUUACGGGGAGCCAAGGGGUCAUAUCCUUUGUGGCACCGCUCUGAGAAAUAGACACAGACAUGUGUGGGAAUAUUCUGCAAAGAAUAGAUUUCUCCCCAAAGUAAGAAACAAAUCCUGCUGGCAAUCUAUAAAGGGAAUGGGUAUUCUAUGCUAUAGAAAUAUUCGGAUUUCAAAGCAAAGGUAUAAUUAGGAGGCUUUCAAGAUCUAAAAUGUUUGAACAAGUCACAGGUAUUGUGCAAGAUGUUCUAAUUUGUAUGUAAGGAGUGAUAGAGGUAAGACAGGAUGAAUUUUCUGGAAAGCAUUUUUGCCAGUUGGAAAUACACUUCUAUUAAAUAAUGUAUAAUUUCUGUGAGGUGUGAAAUAUGCUAGUAAAUCAGACAAAGUUAAAAACACUUCUGUAAAUGUUUGACUAUAUAGUCCAAUACAGGGUCUAGGGUUAAUUAUAACAAAACAGCUUCACAAUGGCCCCCAGGAUUCUCUUUUGUGCUGUGUCUGUACUGCUGAUCCAGAUUGUGGGAAUCUGGAGAGCUCAGUAGCAGCUUACCAGGCUGCAUCAGGGACUGCAGUAGAAUUUGGUUCUAUAGAUGCAUUCUUCCUGAUUGAAACCUGAAAUCAAAACCAAGACUUCCAAAAUGAGGACACUAGUCCAGCAUUUACUGUCCUAUCGAAGAUAAGCUAGAGACAAGGGAAAGCGAGGGAGGGGGCAGGUUCUUCUUAAUUGCUUUUGUUUGGUUGCUACUGUAAUAGUUAAAGGACACAGCAUUUGCUGACUUGGCUCAGAAUUUCAGGUUUGGAUGACCAUGUAUUCCUGAAGUUCUCUGAAUUUAGCUUAGAGAACAAGCCUGUGGGAAGGUGGCCUUUGUUACUCAUUCUGUGGUCCAGGAUGAUAUAAUGAAAUAAAGAUGUGUUCUCUGCCAUUCUCAGACAUACAGCACACGAAAGAGGUAAUAGUCAUCCCUCAGUAUCUGAGGGGGAUUGAUUCCAGGACCCCUACAGAAACCCAAGUCAACAGAUGCUCAAGUCCACUAUGUAAAUGGUAUAUUUUCAUAUAACUUAGGCAUACCCUCCCAUUUUGUUUAAACCAUCUCUAGAGUACUUAUAAUAUACUGUAAAGAACAUGUAAAUAGCUGUUUAGGGAAUAACAAGAAAAAUCUGUACAUGUUCAGUACAGACAUAAUUUUCCUCUGAGUAUUUUUGAUGUAACCACAAUAUUGAAAUAGCAGUUAUUCCAUUGUCAAUAUCAUUAUUUGAGCUUGAGAAAAGUGGCACUGAAUGACUCACUUGGAGAAUGAACAUGCAACUUUAUCAAAUACAGGGCUAUCAAAAAUGACUCAAUAGAGUUCCUUCCAGAAAUUUAGAAAACAACACCUCAUAACCCUAGGAAUACCCAAUCAUACUCUGCUGUGGACAAAAAAAAAAAAAAAAAAAAACUCUUGGAUAACUUUUUCACACAUAGUAUGGUUAUUUAAUGUAGCCUUAAUAAUAACUAAUACAUAACGCAGAGUUGUCAUUAUGUAUUAAGUUGACUUGUGAUAAAUGGUAAAACGUAGGUUAGCAUUGAUAUUACUUUCACAGUGUUCUUUAAUUAGACAAUCGUGAGCCUUUGAAAUAUUUGGAAAUGCCCCCAAAGAAAGAGCCACAAGAGAAGGAAAUGAAAGAUGGCAGGGUAAAACAUUUUCAAGUGGUCUAAUGGGCUUCUAGUUUGCCCAUUGGUUGGAAGAUACAAGACAGAGUACUAAUGAGAAAAAAGACCAAGAGAGCCACCCAUGCAAAGCUCACCCACAUAGGAGCUCAAAGGAAACUGAACCACCCAGACAUGCUACCUGCUUGAUCCAUGUCAGGAAAGGGUGUUAAGGCACAGAAGGUUGCAUUAAGCAGCCCCAUGUACUGAGUUCCUAAGAUUACAAUUCACAAAGUCACAAAUAAUGAAACAAAGAAACAAGUUUUGUUUUUUACUGUUCUUUAAAAAAUUUGUUUUCACUUUAUUUGGAAGGCAGAGUGACACAGAGUGAAAGAGAGAUCAAGAGAUAGAGACAGAGAGAGAGAGAAGAGAGAUCUUACAAUCUCUGGGGUUUACCAAAUGCCUGGAACAACUGGGGCUACGCCAGGCCAGGCCAAGGUCAGGAAUAUAAUUCAAUCUAAGUUUCUUAUGUGAAUGACAGGGACUUCUCAGGAGGUACAUUAGCAGGAAGCCGGAUGGGGAGUCAGAGCUGGGACUUGAACCUGGAAUGUGGGUGUCCCAAGCAGUGUCUUAACCACUGCACAAAUGUAUGCUUCCAUCCACCUUACUCUUGGACUGAAGAAGUGUCUUUUAACAGGUAGAGGAAGAAAUACUUCUAUGUACUGUGCACACAGUCGCCUGGGGUCCAAACCUCCAGAUGUUUUCAGGGAAACAUUUUCUGAUGGCUCUGUCACCUACAGUGAAGGGAACUCAGGUGCCUGUGACCACAUAACCAUAGCUGGGAGUCAUUGUACCCCAGGCUCUGUUUUCAUACCAUCUGUAGUCCUUGAAUAGCAGCCCAAUGCCCAAGUCAGGCUGUGGCUAACAGUUAUUCUGGAUCACUCAUUUCCCACCCGUAUGUUGAUGGUGGGAGGGGGACUACUGACAUUGUUAGAUCCAUACUUUUUUUUUUAAGAUUUAUGUAUUUAUUUAUUUAAAAGUUAGAGUAACAAAGGGAGAGAGAGGGAAAAGCACACACAUACACAGGCACAAAAAAAGAAAAACAGAAAGAGAAGGAGAAAGAGAGAGAGAGAGAGAGGGAGGGAGAGAGAGAGAGAGAGAGAGAGAAUCUUCCAUCUGCUGACUCACUCUCCCAAAUGCUGCAAUGGCUGGGAUGGGCUGGACCAAAGCCAGGGGCAUGGAGCUUCCUCUGGGUCUUCCAUGUGGGUGCAGGGGCUCAAGUACUUGGACUGUCCUCCAUUGCUUUCCCCAGCUCAUUAGCAGGGAGCUGGAUUGGAAGCGGAGCUUCUGGGACUCAAACCAGCACCCAUAUGGGAUGCUGGCGCUGCAAGUGGCUGCCUUACUCACCAUGCCACAGCUCCGGCACCUCUUAGAUCUGUACUUAAUGCAGGUGUGAAUUUGUUCACACAACCAUUACUCUACCUAAAUCAGUGUCAGUUAUAAAUUUUCUAGGUUCCAGUACAAAAUGAAAAUGCAGAAUCUUUUGUUUUAAAGAAACAAAAAAGCACAUUUUCUUUACUGUUAUCUUUCUCUCUCUCUCUGUAUCUCUCUCUGUCUCUCUGUCUCUCUGUCUCUCUCUCUCUCUCUCUCUCUCUUUCACGCUGCCUCCCUCUCUCCCUCCCUUCCCUCCACCUGUCACAGUGAUUUUUUUAUUUGGUGUUUAAAGCCAUGCUGCCUCAGACACAAAGAUACUUGGGUGAGAACAGAUCCUCAAAGCUACUUGGAACCCUACUAUCCAUGUGCCCAGUCCUCUGUCGGACACAAAACAGAGCAAUCACUGUGCAGAGUCACAGCAGGGGGCAGUCAAGAGCUUGUCCAAAGGAGAUGGACAGGGGCUAUAGUGGGGUCCACACAAGUGGAAGCUCCUGGCCCCAGUGUAUGUUCCAUUGUCCCAUCAAAGUCAGUGAAAACAUGAAAACACAGAUACAAAGAUAAAAUUAUUAAGAGUUUUAAGAUGGUAUUUGCAGAGCAUGAAGGCUGGUGUGUGUGUGUGUGUGUGUGUGUGAUUGGGUUAAGGGGCACUUCUGAGUGUCGUCAUUGAUUCUGCUGGGCACAGGAAGCCAAGCCCUGCCUGUAAUGAGAGUAAUUAUGCAUCAUUCUGGACUACAGAAUAUUCACAAUAUUCAGUUUCCCAUUAAAUGGAUUUGAGGUCUCUUUUGAUCCUAUCAUAUUUCCCAAUCUGUUCCUCUGUUAGUAUACACCAAAAUAAAUUUGAAGAUAUAUAUGGGGGCCGGCAAUGUCACAUAGCGGGUAAAGCCAAAGCCUGCAGUGUCAGCAUCACAUAUGGGCGCCAGUUCAAGUCUUGGCUGUUCCAAUUCCAAUCCAACUCUCUGCUAUGGCCCGGGAAAGCAGUAGAAGAUGGCCCAAGACCUUGGGCCCCUGCAUCUAUGUGGGAGACCUGGAGGAAGCUCCUGGCUCCUGGCUCCUGGCUUUGGAUCAACACAGCUCCAGCUGCUGUGGCCAACUGGGGAGUGAACCAGCAGAUGGAAAACCUCUCUCUCUCUCUCUCUCUCUCUCUCUCUCUGCCUCACUUUCUCUGUGUAACUCUGACUUUCAAAUAAAUCUUUUAAAAAAGAUAUUAAUGAUGUGCUUACAAUGGAUGGUAUAAUAUUGGAAAUAAUAAUGUUUAUAAUACUUUUUCAAGUAUUUUUAGAUGGCAUGACUAUGAUUUUUUAUUUAUUAUUGGGUGGGGGUUGGAGAGAUAUCCCCUCUGCUGUUUCACUCUCUAAAUGCCCACAAUGACUGGGAUGGGGGUAAGGUGGACCAGGCUCAAGCCAGAAGUCUGAAAUUGUACCAGCUUGCCCAUGUGUGUGACAAGAAGCCAAGUACUUGAGUCAUCUUUGCUGCCUCCCAUGCUAUGCAUUAUCAGGAUGCUGGAUCUGAAGUGAAGGCGGGACUCAAACACAAGCACUCCAAUCAGAGACACAGGCAUCUCACUUAUGCACUAGACUAAAUGCCUGCCCCCACUACAUUUUAAAAAGUACCCACUUAGAGCUUUAUGGGAUCUCCGUUGUCAGCAUUUAUGUUGCCACACAUUGUUCUUUCUCAUUUCUGUGGUUCGAAUCAAUCUCCUACUACAUUAUUUUCAAUCCCGCAAUUUUAAAAAAGUUGUCAAAAUAAUUGUUCCCUGAUAAUAUCUACUAGAAGCAUGCAUGCCCUCAUACAUAAAUUGAUACAAGCCAUUGUGGAAGCCUCUCAUAGCUGGAGUGUCAUUACACAAAUGGUAUUGCUGAGACUCACAAAGUAAAAUGAGUGAGCCCCAGAAUAAAUUCAAAAACCAUAAAAAUAAAGUGAAACCUGUUAUGCACUGCAAGUAAGAGGCAGUGUAUAUUUUCUCAGCUUAAAACCAAUUAUUUUAUUGUCCCAGGAUUUUUUUUUUUUAAUUUUCAUCUCCUUCUAAAGGUUUCCUCAUAGUCACUUAGCAGCAGCAAAUUUAUGCUCACUUUUAUCCAAUACAGGCUGCAAGUGUGCCCUUCACUCGACCCAGUCUGUUAACUUUCAAAUGCCUAAAGCCAAACCUGACAGCAGAAGGAAAUGUUUCUGGAUUGUAGCUCCAAACUGUUGGAAUAAGCCGCCUCCUACAACAAAAAGGAACAGACACAUUACCUUUUAUUUCAGGAGAUGUUACGCUUUCCUUGGAAAUGAAAAAGUUUCAGAAGAAAAUGAUGAAAAAUCAAUUUCUCUCUCUUUUUUUUUAGAUGCCGGAUUUGCAUAUUUGUGUGUGUGUGUGUGUGUGUGUAUGCUCCAUUGAAAGGUAACUACAUUAAUGUUGGCCCUAGGAUUCUUAAUCAUAUUAAAACAUUUUGUACUUUUUUGUCCUAUGUAUGAAAAACUUCCAUCUCAUUCAGAAAUACAUGAAUCUUCCCUCUGUUCUAUUAUUUUUACUUUCAAAAACUGAACAAAAUUUUGAAUAGCUACCAUGCUUCAUAAUUACUUUUAGUAUCCACAAGGUAUUCAAAGAUCUAUUUUUUUAAACUCUUAUUCUGAUAUUGAGCUCCUGGAUAAUUUGUCUCUCAUUUCUGGUUUGUGUUUUACUUUGUCCUGUGCACUGGAGAACACUACCAUUAAAAUCAAGUCACUGGCCCCACAGCAUUUGUUACUACUGUGCUAUGCCGCAGUUUACAAAGGCAAAUAAAUAAAGCCUUUUUGAAUCUCAUCUAAAUGUGGCUUAUCCAAAGAAAGGUCAAUCCCAACAUGAAGCUGAGCAGUGGACUAUGCAUCUGGUGGUACUCACAUUUUAUUCUCCCAAAUACCAACUCUCCUUUGUCUGCCUUCUACCAUUCUGGCUUACAUCCAGAAGAUAUUUGGUCUUCCUCAAUUAAAAGCAAUAACUAUGAGCCCUCUAUACGAGAUGAAAUAUAUGCACAUUAAUACUCUUCCAUUCUCCUUAUUCUCAACAUAGUGCUAGAUGUUUUUCUAGCUGUGAGCAAUAAUCAAAGACAAACAAUGACAUUGUCUCAGAUUAGAGGAAGAGCAGAAGUUAGAAGAUGCAAAGAAAUAUUCUGGAUGCCUUGUCUUAGCACAGAAACAGCUCCUAGGGCUCUCUCCACCUCUUGUUUUGACUUUUUGUUCAUGGAUUUCAGAGGAUAGACACAGGAGCUCCAAUGAUCAUCUCCUUUAUUCUCAGUUCACUAAGCAUGGCCCCAUUGCCUGCAGCCCCACAAGCCUCCUGAGGGACAGCACAGUACAAGGCUCAAGAGAUGCUGUGUCACCAAACGAUUCAGUGUCCAAACUCUUUGAGAAAGACCAAGAGCCUGUAGUUCACUUAUUGAAACUUACAAUAUUUGCUGUACUUUAAGGACGCGAUCAGAUUCUGCUAAAAAGGAACCCCAUUAGAAACGUCUGCAGGAGAGUUCCUCAGGUUAUCUGAUCAGGGAGUCUUUGUAUAAGCAGCAGCCAAAGAGCACAAUUUGGGAGAAACUCUGAUCUUUAGGUGAAGGUCAUGUGCAUUAGACGGCCAUCACCGCCCCACCCUCCACACCAGCCUCCUAUCCCCUCAGCCUUACAUUUCACCCUUCAGCCACACUGAAUUGCUGUACUCUGAUAACACGAGCUGCUGUUCUUGCAAGCAGCCUUUUCUAUGUGGAGUACCUUGUCCUCACCUGUGCACCUGGCCCUCCUACUUAGACUCACUCCAGUCAGCUUUGGUAUUCUUUGGCUAUGUUAUGGCAAGUUCUUCAGCAAAAUGUCUGGUGUUGGUGUGUGACCUUGGGCAGGUCAGGAACAGUUUGCCUCUCCACAUCUUUAGAAGAUGAAGUUAAAAAGAGCACACAGCGUGGCCAGCGCCGUGGCUCACUAGGCUAAUCCUCCACCUGUGGCGCCAGUACCCUGGAUUCUAGUCCUGGUUGGGGCACCAGAUUCUGUCCUGGUUGCUCCUCUUCCAGUCCAGCUCACUGCUGUGGCCUGGGAAGGCAGUGGAGGAUGGCCCAAGAUCUUGGGCCCUGUACCCGCAUGGGAGACCAGGAGGAAGCACCUGGCUCCUGGCUUCGGAUCGGCGCAGCACACCUGCCAUAGUGGCCAUUUUGGGGGGUGUACCAACAAAAGGAAGACCUGUCUCUCUGUCUCUCUCACUGUCUAACUCUGCCUGUCAACAAACAAACAAACAAACAAAAAAACAAAAAACACAGCUAAUGGGGCUAUGUGGAGGAUUGAAUUAGUUAGUUUACAUGGAAACUUUAAAUCAGGGUAUGACGUGUGUACUAAGAUUGUCAUGAAUUUUGCACACCCCCUGUGUGGGUCUUUAUCAAUGUACAUUACUGUAGUAUCAUUAUCUCUUAAUGCAUCUAAAUUCGCCAUCAAUUUACAUUCUACUUGUACCUUACGGCUGCAGAUUAUUCAUUAUUUUAAAUCCCUAGAACCUAACACAUAGUGGGCAAUCAAUAAAAAUUGAAUCACCAAUUUAUCAAAUAAAAAUGUAAGCUUGCAAUAUUUAAUAAUGCUAGAAAUCUCAGCUACUCACACUGAAGUGAGUUAUCUGUUUAUAAUUUGCUAAUAGUAAUACUGAUUCCAGAGGACACAUUCAAUCCACCAGCAUCUCUUUCAGAAUGUUAGUGCAAAUAUGAGGAAGCUUCUGUUGUCUUCACAAAUUGCUGGAGGAGAUAAAAAAAUACAUGAGACAAUUUCUCUGGUCUCUUUCAUCUAAAAAAGUCUGUGGUCAUAUGAUUGAUGAACCAGCACAGAGCAGAUUAGAAACGUGAAGAACAGUCAGACUCAAUUUGUAGAUGUCCUUCAACUUUCUGAUAAGACAAUAGAAGUGAUUAUUGUCUCUUAUUUAUUUGCUUCCUUAAUUGGGAGUAAUAUAUUGUAAAAGAAAAAGAACAAAUAAUAAAAUCCUUAUCUCAGUCCAUUAUCAUUUUCUGGGCUAUGAAUAUUUCUUGUCUUUUAAAAAUAUUAUUAUGCUGAAUUAUUUUCCACUUGGUGCUUUAAUCGUAAGACUAUAAGAAAUAAUUUGACCUUAACUCAGUAGAGAGAGUAUGUAAGUGUAAAAGCAAAAAUCUUUCUUAAAUGAAUUAUUUUUUGUUAGCAGAACUAACUGCUAAGGGGAGGACUGCUAAGUGGGAGCAGUUUUGUGAUUUUUCUCUCCUUUGUACAAUUUUUCCUGACCUCUCAUGUGUAAUUUAUUUUCAUAAUAUUUUAUAUUCUCCAUCUUACUAUGUUUGAUACAUUACCAAAAAAGGCCAUAUACAUAUCUAAUGCUAGUGAUUAAGAAUCAUUUAUGAAAAUUUUAGUAGAUUUAAUUAAAACAUUUAAGUGGACAACAUGUAAAUUACUAAUUUGUUUCUUUAAUGCCCAGGAGUGGGCAUUUGGUCCAGCAGUUAAGGCACUACUUGGAACACCACCAUCACAUCAGACUGCUUGGUUUCAGUCUCACCUCCACUCCUAAUUCCAGCUUCCUGGUAUUGCAGACCCCAGGAGGCAGUUUGUAAUGGCUCAGGUGGCAAGGUCCCAGACCUGGAUUGCGUCUCCGACUUCCAGCAUUGGCCCUAAGCCAUGGGCAGGUAGAAGCAUGCUUCUAUACCUCCAAUAUGCAAUAACUUAUUUGGACUAAGAAGCUCUCCGAAGUGAGGACUCGAAAAAAACAGAGUAUACUUCAGAAAGAAGCAUUACCUACAAAUUCAAGGAGCCAUGGAAAUUCCUGCAGGAUCUGUUCCAUUCAUGGAAGUCGGGAAUGGAGAGAGAGGAAACUUUUAUAAGAAGAGGAAGAGACACCAAGGAUGGUAGUGCAGAGAAGAAAGGCCAUGUGAGGACGCAAUGAGAAGACAGCCAUCCGCAAUCAAGGGAGAGCAGCUUCAAGAGGAGUGCCGCCCUGCAGACACCUGGUUCCUGGACUUGCAGCCUCCAGAACUGUAGGACAAUGGUACCUGCUGUUUAUCCCAGCCUGUGGUAUUUUGUUCUGGCAGCUAUAGAUGAUUGAGGCAGCUCCAGUAUGAAAUUAAAAGUAUCUUGGUAAUACAGAAUUUGGGAGCAAGACUCUGGUGUAUGGCUUAAAAAAUGUUCAAUGUCAGAAUUUUAGUAGUAAUGAUACUCCACACACACACAUGCACACGACUCAGAGACACACAUUCUCACCUUUAGCUGAUGCAUGAAAUCAUAUCCAUUUCCAUUCUUUCCUUUAGGGCACUGCUUUCUCAUAAUCGUUUUACUUAGACAUAAAUUAUCUUCCAAAUUAGAAAUAUCUGGCUUUCAAAAUUUAAAUAUCAAUCUCUCUAGGUGAAUUUUCUCUUCUUUUCUGCUUUAUAAGUAGGUUCAGGUGCCCCACAGAGUGUCACAUUUGUCUAGAUAAUGAAUAAAUAUCAUUUGACUAUAAAUAUGAUAUGAACCUCUUUGAAACAGAUUUCCUUGUCAAGUUAUUUGUUUUAAACAAGUCUCAUUUCAAUGACAAGAAAUGUAAAACAGGUACUGUUUCAAAUAGGCCAGAUAGACACCAUUUAUCAUAGAUUAAAAUGUAUUUAUAUUAUGGACAAAUGGAUUAUCAUUGAAGUAGAAGUGAUGGAGCGAAGUAUCUGGAAACAUUAUGACAUUGUUUUAUUUGUCAGAAAAAAAAAGCAUGCAAAUUAAAACCUCUUCGCCCCUAAAUCAAGGUUUUUUUUAAAAGGAAAUAAAUGUCCUCAACCAUCGCGACCUUAUUUGAAGAUUUCUAAUACAACAUAUUCCUUAUUUCCUUCCUUGCAUAGAGCACAAUUAUUUUCUAAAUGAAUGGCAUUGCUGAGCUGGGGAUGGCAUGUUGUGGACCUAAAAUAUCAUGACCUAUACCAGGUGUAACGUAUCUUUCGAGUCCAAAGAUUUGCCACCUGCAUCAACUUCACACCCCACCUUAAACAUGUGCUCCCUGGCUACUCCAUGGUGUCCUCAUCAAUGUGAAGUAUUUUAAGCAUUAAGAUUUUAUUUAGUUAAUGUCACAAGGAUCAGAAGCUUUUUGGGAUAAUCAGAUUCAGUAAUGACCAAUCUGGACUGGUUUUCAAAUGGUGAAAUAUUAUUAUCUUGAUAAUUCAAGCCAAUCCCUGACAAAAGAAUCUAAGAUAAUAUUUAAAAAAACAGAAGUUUCUUUUGUAUAUGUGCUUUGGCCUUUCUCAAUGUUAUAAUGUUAUAAAAUAUCCUCAUGUUGACUUACUGUACAUUGAUUUUAACAGCCAUUCUUCACAGAGCAAUAUGAAUAUCAUUGGAAACUGCAUAAUGCAAUUUUCUACCCCUGAAUGCUAUAGAAAACAGCACAUUUUAUACUGACAUGUGCCCCAUCAAUAAUAGAGUUUUUAUAUCUUAUUUGUAGCUAUUGAUCUCAGCAGCAUAAUAAAAAAUUGAUUGCACCAAAGUGUACCAUUUCUUAAAUAUAAAUUUCAGUGUCAAAUUAUUUUUAUCUAUGCUUCCCAAUUAUACAUGAAACUUACACAUUUAUAUAUGUUUGCUUCCUCAAAAUUCUACCACUGUAAAUUAGGUAGGACAAGAAUCUACUGAAUCAAUAGAAAUCAGGUCUCUCACACUAAAAUGUGAUUCUAAAAUUAAACAUGCUAGUUUCAUCUCUUCAUUAUGAAGGGAAUUAAAGUCUCAAUAUAUAGUAUCAUCUUCCUAUGCAAUUUAACAAUUUGAAAUUAGGUCUUAAAUCUUCUGAGGGUAUGAAUACACACGCAUACACACACACACACACACAUAGAAAAUAUAUGCACCCAGAAAUUCAUGCACUCAUUUGGUAGUCCACAUGAUACUCUAAACAAGGUACCUGCUCCUAGUUAUCUCUUGAGACCUUAUUAUUUUAGAAGGAAUACUCUGCUAGCAAAAUCAAUGGGUGUAAGUUCUGACAAAAAAUAAGAAGGAACGAUACUCCUCAGUGGUCAUCCCCAAGUCCAAUGUCACAGACAUGAAAUGAGUUAGGUCAGAAAUUCAGAAACCAAAACAAAAUCUACAAACAGCAAGAAAGGUUUCAGAGGAUAAAAAAAUUCACUUCUUAAGUUAAUUUUUCCUUUUUGUACUAUUUUGAAUUGAAAUUAUUAAUUAAAAAUUUCAUAGGUUUCCUUAAGAUAUGUAAAUUUGAACACAUAACUAUACUGUUUAGUGAAAUUGAUUAACAGCACAAGCAAAAUAUAUAAUAAAUAUAUAUGCACAUAAUUCUCUGGAUGAAAAACUUUUUCAGCAUUUGUAUUAAAAUAGUAAUAUUACUAUUAUGGUAAUAGUAAUAUUAAUAAUUAGGGGUAAUGUGCCUUGUAAACAUGAUAAUUAGCCUCAGACCCAUUCAUUGAUAGUAACGACUGGAAAAUUAUUUUACCCCUUCAACUUUGUCCAAGAAUUUAUAACACCCUUGAAUCAAUACCACCAAUUUAGCCGUGGAAUUUUGGAGGUGUAGAAUAUUAUUCUUUCUUAAAUAGAUAUAUUUAUUGCUUCUCAGCCUUUUGGCUAUGAUCAAGCAUAAAUAGGCACAUUUGGAUCUAAUUUACAUACCAUAAAAUCUAUUUGUUUUGAUGGUACUAUCCAAUUUCAAUAUUGCAGAAUUGUGCAACCACCACUGAAACAGUAUUUUAAAGCAUUUACACAGUCUCUAAAUAUAUCCCAUAGCUGUACCCAGCCGCUCACCUUUCUCCUAGCCUCCGACAACCACUAAAGCAGUUUCUAUCCAGGGGCUGGCGCCGUGGCUCACUUGGUUAAUCCUCCGCCUGCGGUGCCGGCAUCCCUUAUGGGCUCUGGGUUCUAGUCCCAGUUGCUCUUCUUCCAGUCCAGCUCUCUUCUGUGGCCCGGGAAGGCAGUGGAGGAUGGCCCAAGUGCUUGGGCUCCUGCACUUGCAUGGGAGACCAGGAGGAAGCACCUGGCUUCUGGCUUUGGAUCGGUGCAACGCUGGCCAUGGCGGCCAUUUGGGGAGUGAACUAACAGAAGGAAGACCUUUCUCUCUGUCUCUCUCUCUCACUGUCUAUAACUCUACCUGUCAAAUAAAAAAAAAUAGUUUCUAUCUAUAAGAUUUCCCUAUUAUGGACAUUCCGUAUAAAUGUCAUUACAUAACACGUGACCUUGGAUGUACUUCUUUCACUGAUCAUCAUCUUUUCAAGGUUCACAUUGUAGCAUGGAUCAGUACUUCAUUCCUUUUAAAUAUUUAUUUAUUUAUUUGAAAGGAAUAGUUAGAGAGAGAGAAAUCUUCCAUCUGCUGGGUCACUCCCCAGAUGGGCCAAUUCAAAGCAGGAGCCAGGAGCUUCUUUCUGGUCUUCCAUGUGGAUACAAGGGCCCUAGGACUUGGGCCAUCUACUACUGCUUUCCUAGGUCAUAGCCGAGAGCUAGAUCAGAAGUGGAGUAGCUGGGACUUGAACUGUCGCCCAAAUGGGAUGCCGGCACAGCAGGCAGUGGCUUUACCCACUACGGCACAGUGCAGAACCCCUUUUCAUUCCUUUCUGUGGAAGAUUAACACAUUGAUUAUUCAACACACCAUAUUUUGUUUAUCCAUUUGCCAAUUGGCAGAUAUUUGGGUUGUUUCCACAUCUUCAUUAUAUGAAUAAUUCUGCUGUGAAGAGCAGUGUAUGAGCUUUUGUGCGGACAUGUUUUCUCUUCUUGUGUGUGUGCAUCCGUGUGUGUGUGUAUGUGUGUGUGUGUGUUUAUGAAUGGAGUUAUUCAUUCUUAUGGUAAACCUAUGUUUAAUUUUUUGAGGAACUAAAAUUGUUUCCCAAGUUGUUGUGACAUUUUACAAUUUCACCAGCAGUGGAACAAGAUUCCAAUUUCUCUAUACUCUUGACAGCAGUUUUAUUAUUUCUGUGUUUUGCCAUACUAACCAAUGUGAAGUGGUAUGUUGUGAUUUUGAUUUACCUUGUCCUAAUGAGGUGAUGUCAAAUACCUUUUCAAGUACUUAUUGGCCAUUUGUGUGAAUGUUCCAGGUUUUUCUAUAAUUUUAAAGUUGUUAUUUUCUUUUUAUGAUAGAAUUGUAAGUUCUUUAUAUAUUUUGGACACAAGUCUCUUAUCAGAUAUAUGUUUUGAAAAUGUCUUCUUCAGCAAAUAAUGCCUACAGUCCAAAGUUCUACCACUGGGCAUAGUAAACGAAAUGGCAAUUCCACGCCAAGUGGAGCUGGAGCUUCAGCUCUACAGCACAGUUGACUACAAUAGGACUUUGGAUGAUGUGAAACAGAAGUGCGACACAGACAGCUACAGGCUGAAUUCCUGUUGUAGUAUCCCAAUUUUCAAUUUACUUAGCAGACGCUUCAGAAAACUGUCAAGUGUCAAAGUCUGUAACGUGUCGACAAAAAUCUGUGAAAAAGUGUAAGUAAAUGAAUUGUAGAGAGAAAUGUGCAGUAUUAAAGACACGGAUCUUUAGAGGGAGGCUGAAGUGCUACAGCAACUGAGUAUGAGAAAACUAGCAGAUUUGACUGAGGGGAAGUCAUAAUUGUAGCACUUUGCUAUUGACAGAUGGGGACCCAGAAGGUAGCUUGGAGUCAAAACAGAGCACCAAACACAGGAAUAACUUGUGAAAGAGUAGAUGAGAUCAAAUGCAUGUUUAUAAAAAGAUAAUUAUUUUAGAAGAGGCUCUAAAUAAAGGUUCCUCAGCUGUGAGAGUUCAAAGCAACAAUUAUUUUCAUUCUCUUAAUUUUCUGCUAGUGACAUUGAUGGUCCAGUAAAAAGCAGAAGCAUUUUACUGCUUAAUUGUACCUCGCUGUCUGCAAGAAAUGACUAUUCUGGGAAAAAGUUAAAACCAAUUAAGAAGUCACCACUACGUAUAGGUUUGGAGCUCUAUUCUCAUCAUAUAUUCCUUCAUUCAUUUCAUUAGCACCUCAUGAAUAAUCUUACAUAUCUGGAUUUUUACUAAAUAUUUGGAACAAAAAAUUACCCAUAUCCUCUCUCAGUUUAUAGUUUAGUGGAAGAGAUAAGAAAUAAAAUGAUUCCAUAUAGCACAAUUUAUAGUCCCCAAAGGCAAACUACAGAUACUGGUAAGUCAUGAGACAGUUUGGUCAAGGAAGUCAGUUGAACUAGGAGUUGAUCCCUUGCAGGUAGGAUGUGUGUCUCCCUGUGAUGAUCCUCCAAGAUCUUGAUGGAAAAAGACAAAACUUGUGCAUUCAGAGACUUGGCUGGACGAGUAUGAAAAUACUAUGAAGCAGAGUUGAGAGGAAAAUACUAAAUCAUGAUGAUGACUCCUUCACUUCCAACAAAAGGAAACCUCAAACCCUGAUGCCACAUUGUGUUGGUUUAAAUUUUGACUCUCAGCUGAUGUGUGAUGUUUCACAAGCUACUAUAUUUCCCUGCUCCUAAAAAUUUUGCAUUAUAUAAAGGAGAUGAGAAUAGCACCUGGAUUACAAGUAUGCAAGUGUAUUGAAUAUGAAUAAACACUUAGAAUUUUAGGGGACAGGAUACGGAUUAUAGGAAGCAUUCUAAUGAUGUUUAUCUCAUUUAAAAUGUAGACUUGGAGAGUUUCUUGAGAAACUUAUGUAUGUGUAUGUUACUGGGGGAGGAGGCGUGUAUGAUGGAGGCCAAGGAACUCACUCUUUAUGGGCUUUUACAGCAUAGCUGGCAAGGAAGAAAAUCCACCACCCGUAACCUUAGGAAGAGGGCAUCUGUGUUUGCCUGGAGCGAUUGCCAAGUGACAUUUGUGGAGGAACUGUUUUCCUUCUUUCAUUCCACAGAAAUGUCUUGACAGCCUACUCUAAGUCUCAUUACUGUGUUUUCCUUCCUUGGUGAAACUUAUGUUUAUAGGGAUUUGUCCUCCUUGUUUACCUGUGCAUGAUCUAUCUUUCUGCACAAGAGCAGAGACACUCUGAGUGCAAUGUUGCCUGUAGUUCUAUCCCCAGGGCUGAAAACCAAGCAUCACACAUCAUGGGUGGGUGAUAAAAAUUUUAUGAAUGAAUAAGGUUCACGAAUGUGUUAGUAUUCAUGGAGGUUGCUGUGUAUUAGCCCACCUCUGGAUGGGAAGAGGUAUGUAGAAAUGUUAAUUCCAGCUCAAGAUUAGAUUAGAAAGACUCAGCAUGUCCACACCCUCCCAAUGAAGAGCAGCUGUCCGAGUUGCCUGUGAGGUUAGUACACUAAGCACCAGCACAAUAUUGACUGGUUUGUUUUUCCUCAAAUAGACUCAUGUAACAUCUGGGCUCAUAUAGAGACAAGCCAUGUUAUACUAGGGCGAUGUAUAACUCAGAUGUUUGCAUUCUGUGUAUAUCAGAUUGAAUAUGCCUCUCCUUCUGUGUGGAUGAUAUGCUUAGUGCUAACAGCACUUACUAGAAAAUUAACUUCACCACUCAAUGACUAAGUUCAUAUUGGCAUUCAAAUAUCCAAGUGUUCUCCUAGAUGUCUCUUCAGAAAAACAAAAGAGCAAAAAUGUCAAAACAGUGUUGUCUCCUAAGAUUUCAUUUACAUUGUUUGUAUUUUUUAGGUUGAAAAUAGGUAUAGAUGACUUUCCUCCACUGUACAAUGCUUAAAAAUUUUUCUCUACCAUUCUAAACAAGAGAAUACUAGGACACCCUUUAUGGAUCUUUAAAAGGCCUUCAAAGUUGCAUUUAAAUUUGUUUUGUAUCACACUGAAAGUUGUAUCAGGCUUUCCUCUGAUCAGAUUCUCACUCUUUUGUGAUUAGUAAUUUGUCAAACAUGAAAAAUAAGUGCCAGACAUUGUAAUAAGAAUCUCAAAUCUGGUUUGGCAGUCCUGAGAGGCAGGCAUUACUAUCUGGCUAUGGAAACUAUGUCAAACCUUAAGUGAGCUGCCCAAUUCUUGCAGCUAAUAAGGUGAUAUAACUCAAAAAAUCAACCUGGGUCUCUCAGACUGUAAAAUGGGUGCCCUUAAGUAAUACACAAUAAUGAUUUUUGCUGUUUGCUUUUCUUAGUCCAUUAGUUCACUUGAUUUUCAAAAUCCUAACCAUUGAUCGCUUUUCUUUAUUAUACUUUGUUUUUUCAGCCACUUCUGACUGUUUAAAAUUAAACAGAACAUCGCAAAUGCAGAAAUUAAGCUAUUUGGUAAGCACUCAGGUAGGACUAUCUAAAUCCUCUGGGGCUUUUGGAAGUUCUCUUCUACCCCAUUCCACUCCUCUCAAAGAUUUCCUCUGCUUAUCUUCAAGGACAUCUCCACCCAGCCUGAACCCCCAAACACCCGUUCCAGCCAAGUCAGGGCUGUUCCUCUCACACUCACCACUUAGGGUGCUGUAUUGUGGGUCAUCACAAACCGCGACAAGAAUGACUUUGCCCAGAUUUCCAAAGUUUUGAUUAAAAUUCUUAACAAAAUCUAAAACAAUAUUCAGUUUUGUCCUUUGUAAAAUUGCAGCAGUGUCACUAGACUCAGUUAUCUGUGGCUUGACUGUUUCCUCUAAUUCUUCUGUGAACUUACCCUGAGAACUAUUUUGAAUACUUCUGAACUUUUCUCCCUUCUCCAUAACUUCUUUUCUCUGACAAUUUUUUGUCCUUCAGUUCAAAACACGAGCAUGUCAUGAUAAAUUUUUCAGCGACAUUCAUAAAAAAGGAGCUAUGUAUCCCCGCCAAACAUUUUGUAAUUUUAGUGUCAUUUCUUCUCUACUAAU